rnacentral:lncRNA from 1 species
UAGGAGGAUCCUCAUAUCCCAAAAGUUAAAACAUGCGGAAAAUUAAUGAAAAACGGAGAUAAAUGAAAUCAUAGUGUUUUUAUAAAUGAAAACCUUCUUUAACAAAUUCGGGUUAAGACUUGUAAAGUAAUUAACACCCCCAAGGAUCUAGUCUAAGAGGUACAAGAGCUACUAUGAGUACAACAGGACAUAAUAAUGAAAAGACACAGCUCCCACCAUGCAGAAGGAAAAGUAGAAGCUGUUGGAGAAUUCUUUGUCUUCAUCUAAUGAAACAUCACCAACC